CUAUACAAUUAAAAAGUAAACAAAAU
rnacentral:piRNA from 1 species